GCCAUCAUUUCGAUUAACACGGGCUGGCAUAAGCGAAUUUCGUAUUGGUACGGAAAUUAAUUCACUGAUAUAUUACCCAGUGGCACUUUUAUUUCACAAAUUUAAUACCGUAUUUGUUUCAUGUCUGGUGUUACACAUUAUUUGCCAUUUUAAAACGUCGAUUCGAUGAUAGUGGCAACCACGGAGUAAUGGGUGUGCCUUGGUCGCUGGGACAUUGGGUUCCUAAGAAGAAAUUCCGACCAGGGACAGGUCAAAAGCCCAACCCGUAAAAAAGCUGAAGAAUAAAAAAAGGCUCCUGUAUCUGGACGGCUUCUGUCCCUUCGAGGCAAAUAAACAUUAGAAGGUGGAUUACACAGACUUUUCAUCGGCUGUACAGCCCGCAGUCGGCAGUGCGCUGCUGAUAACAGAUUGUCACGACCUUUAUUAGCCACUUGGUAGGACUCCUUGGAUGUGUAAUCAGCCAGACGCAGGGCCUCCUCCAUCGACACACGAGAGCAGAACACAUAAACACUCUGGCUUGACUGGGAUUCGAACCAAAGAACGCAACGUUAGAACAUUUGGGGACCAAGACCUAGAACAUGCCGUGCUGCCAAUGAUCGUCAGCUGGACCAACUACAAUACCUAUUUGAGAAACUGAAGAAUAAGUGACUAUUAACUUUAAACAGUUCCACUGCACAGACAGUUUCAUUGCACACAAUUAAUAAAGAUGAAGUAUACGAAAGAAGGAUGCGCCGUAGAAUCGUGUUGUUACAAAAGACGUUGAUUUGUGUGAGAGCAAUUGCUUUCCAAAUACCAGCUGUAAUUUAUUUCUGGGUGUUUCCGACGAACGUGUAUGAUACCUGUUUUAAAUUUCUUAGACUUUUUCUGUCACCUUUUUCCAACUCACCGUUCCUGAAACUGGUUCUAAUCACGGUCACAAAACCAAUUUCUAAAAUGUUACGUUUUAAGGAAACCCAAGAUGAUGGAUAAAAUUCAGUAAAUUGAAACUUAUUUUGU